UCCCACAUCACAUGAAAACUCAACGGGAUGCCAGCUCCUAAAGCCACAUGGGAGGCCACUCUCCAGGGCUCCAGGGCAUGGGACACAUGGAUGAGGGUCCACAGCCACCAUGCGUGCUUGGAUCGAUUGGUCGCCCCUGACCACUCUCUCAGGAGAGGAGGAAAGAGGCCGGAGCCAAGACCAUCCUUUCCCAGCACAACGCGGCAAGCUUGGGUGAGGCAGCCGGGAUCCUCCCCCACCUUGACAGAAGCCUGGAACCUGAAGCCCAGGCAGAGCCAUGCAGACAGCCUGCCGAGAAGGCAGGUGGGGCAGAGACUGGGGAAGAAGGUGUUGGGGGUCCUGCCAGAUGCUUCGGUGAGGCUGAGUGAGGAGGCAGCUGCAGUAAGCAACAGGAGCGUCUCCCUGCAGGCACAGGCUCUCGCCAGAAUGGGGACAAGAUCAGCCUGGGGCCGUGUCCACCCUAAAGAUGAAGGAAGAGUGGAAGCCUGGAGCCAUGGGGGUUUAUGUCCACGUAACCUAACGGGAGGCUGCCAGUGGAGUCUCAGAGCCAGCCCAGGAAGAAAGGAGGGAGGCAGGAGGGUCAGAGAAGGACUGGAAGACAUCAUGCUGACGGCUUUGAGGAUGGAGGAAGGAGCCGUGAGCCAAGGGAUGCAGGCCUUUCUUGCUCCUAGAAGCUGGCACAGCCAGAGCCAAGGAAAUACAUUGUCCCUCAGAGCCUUCAGGAGGAGCCAGCCCUGCCAACACCUUUGUUAGGGACGCAGGAGCCUAGGAGAGCCAGAGUGACACCAUUUUAAAAUCAACUCCAUCUUGGCUGGGCGCAGUGGCUCACACCUGUAAUCCCAGCACUUUGGGAGUCUGAGGCCAGUGGAUCAUUUGAGAUCAAGAGUUCAAGACCAGCCUGGCCAACGUGAUGAAACCCCUUCUCUACUAAAAAUACAAAAAUUAGCCGGGCAGUGGUGGCAUGCACCAGUAAUCCCAGCUACUUGGGAGGCUGAGGUGGGAGAACUGCUUGAGCCUGGGAGGCCGAGGUUACAGUGAGCCGAGACUGCACCACUGCACUCCAGUUGGGGUGACAGAGUCAGAGUCUGUCUCAAAAAUAAAUAAAUAGGUAAAAUCA
rnacentral:lncRNA from 13 species